rnacentral:rRNA from 1 species
GUAGGGAAUAUUGCACAAUGGAGGAAACUCUGAUGCAGCGAUGCCGCGUGAGUGAAGAAGGCCCUUGGGUUGUAAAGCUCUUUCGUCGGGGAAGAAAAUGACUGUACCCGAAUAAGAAGGUCCGGCUAACUUCGUGCCAGCAGCCGCGGUAAUACGAAGGGACCUAGCGUAGUUCGGAAUUACUGGGCUUAAAGAGUUCGUAGGUGGUUAAAAAAGUUGGUGGUGAAAUCCCAGAGCUUAACUCUGGAACUGCCAUCAAAACUUUUUAGCUAGAGUAUGAUAGAGGAAAGCAGAAUUUCUAGUGUAGAGGUGAAAUUCGUAGAUAUUAGAAAGAAUACCAAUUGCGAAGGCAGCUUUCUGGAUCAUUACUGACGCUGAGGAACGAAAGCAUGGGUAGCGAAGAGG